CAGUCGCCACGGUAAUACGUAGGGUGCGAGCGUUAAUCGGAAUUACUGGGCGUAAAGCGUGCGCAGGCGGUUUUGUAAGACAGAGGUGAAAUCCCCGGGCUCAACCUGGGAACUGCCUUUGUGACUGCAAGGCUAGAGUACGGCAGAGGGGGAUGGAAUUCCGCGUGUAGCAGUGAAAUGCGUAGAUAUGCGGAGGAACACCGAUGGCGAAGGCAAUCCCCUGGGCCUGUACUGACGCUCAUGCACGAAAGCGUGGGGAGCAAACAGGAUUAGAUACCCCUGUAGUCCCUGUCUCUUAUAC
rnacentral:rRNA from 1 species